AAACACAAGCAAAAAAUACGUGAUGAAGAGCAAAGACAAAGAAAAAUCAGAGCUGGACGGCAAAGUUGGAUAAAAUGCUGCGGUGGUUAGGACAGACGUCUGGAGGAGGUGAGAAGAGGAAGGAAGCAGAAGAUGAGAGUGUUGACAGAGCGUGCAAAGCGAAGAGAAGAAACUUCAACAGUAAAUGGCAGACAGGCCGUGAAUGGCUUGUGUUUGACAAUGAAAAUGCAGUAAUGUCUUGUAAAAUUUGCCGAGUGUACACGAAAGAAAUAAACAAAACUAACAGUUUUGUGGUGGGGACUAAUAAUUUUAAAAUCGAGGCUGUGAAGGACCACGAGAAAGCUCGAAGUCAACAGGAAAGCCUCCAAAUGAAGACUGCUAAGGCAGUUCCAGUUGAAGUGUUGCUGGGAAAAGUCUCUCUUCACUCAGAAGUUUGGAGUUGGAAAAGAUGCAGCUUCUUUUUAGAAAUGCUCAUGCCAUCGCAAAAAAGGGAAGGCCUUUCACCGACUUCGCAUGGAUGUGUGAGUAAGUAAAUCAAUCAUUCCAUUUACAUGUUUCAGAAUCAGUGCAUUUAAACUGAUACAGAGUGAUGAUAGACACGCCUUUACUGACACAGAUGAAAUGUUAUGCUUGAUUUCAAAAAGAAAAAAUAAAAGAACUCAGUAACUGAACUCUGCACUAACUUUGGCUUUAUUCACAUGAUUAAUUUAGGGUGGACAGAAAGAAAGGCUUGAAGAUAGGAGAGACAUAUACAAAUGACCACCAAGCAAAAGAAUUCAUACACUACAUAGCAGAGGAUGAGAGGAGAAAAAUGAAGACAAGAUUAUUAGAUGGCAAGUUCAUGUCAGUCAUGUCAGAUGGAUCCCUGGACAGUGCAGUGAUGGAAGAAGAAAUUGUUUAUGUCAGGAGUGCCAGUGAAGGAAAAGUUAAAGUUGACCUUGUUGGGGUUAAAUCAGUCUCAAAGCCAGAUGCUGCAAAUAUAGCUGAAGCUGUGUGCGGUAUGUUGGACAGUGAAGUCAGCACUGAUUGGAAGAAGAAGCUGGUUGCCAUCACUACUGAUGGAGCAUCUGUAAUGACAGGAGUAAACAAUGGUGUUGUUACAAAACUGCGUGGAGACAGAUGUUACGUGCCACUGCAUGGCCCAUAAGCUUGAACUCUCCUUUUCGGAUGGAAUAAGGAAGAAUGUGAUGGUCAGGAAAGUUGAGGACCUGUUGAGUGGACUCUACACCUUAUAUCAUAAGAGUGGCGUAAACAGGGCCAGCCUAAAGGAUCACUUCAGGGAGCUCCACCUGAAGCCUUUGAUGCCAACCAGAAUAGGUGGAACCCGGUGGCUCCCACAUUUCUUCAAUGCACUUGAUCAUUUUCUCAGGGGAUAUGUUGGCUUUGUCCACCACUUAGAGGAAAAGGUGUGUUAAUUUACAUUCUAGUAAAACUAGUGUAGAUAGAUACAAUGUUCUCUAAAUCUGAUACUCACUAUCAUCAGUUUUAAUGCGGUCUGUGGCUGUGAUAUAAUUUAGUUUGUUUGUCUGUAGUCCCAAAAUACCACGAACACCAAUGCAGUUCUGAGGGCAAAGGCCAAGGGGUUCCUCAACAUAGCCAAGGAUGGUGGGGUGCUCAGGUUAUGCUGCCUUCUCCAUGACACCAUCUAUCAACUGAGCAGCCUCUCCAAGUCACUGCAGAGGUCCGUGUCAGCCCUGGCUGAAGCUCAGAGUCUCAAGCUGUCAUUCAAAAGUACAAGUCAAGACCUGGGCCUAAGAUGAGAUCAGUGCUGGACACAGACACAUGUGGCAAGGUGGAGACACGAGGGCCCGGGCGGGAUUCGAUCCCCAGACUCCCGGGUGAGAGUCAUACGCUCUAACCAGUCAGCCAAAGGGACAUCCCCUUGGCCAAGUAGCCAGGGCGCAUGAUCAAUCGGGACAUUGUGACAGGACACUCACACUGUCACACACAUAUGAGGGAGUCCUUCUGAAGCCUUCUGAUGCUGGCCAGCACAACAAGGCAAAUAACGAGUUGAUCGAUUCUCUGUGUCAAUGCAUCACUGCGAGAUUUAGUGAUGUGAACAGUGGUGUCCUGCAUGCUAUGCGACUGACCAGUUUCCAGUGCUGGCCAGAGGCAGACACGAGUUUCGAUUUUGGUGAUGAGGAGAUAAACAAGCUCACAAGUCACUUCUGACCUCUUCUGCUGUCUGCUGGAGUGGAUGUGGACUUGAUCCCUGAUCAAUGGACAAUUGUUAAGGCUGAACUGUACACAGCAGGAUUUAGCCAAGGAACUUUUGAGAAAACCUGGCCUACUGUGAACAGAAUGCUGCACCAUCGGUGUCCUGACGUCCUUUACCUCUUUGAUGCUCUCCUCACCAUCCCUGCAAGUACAGCUGACUGUGAAAGAGGGUUCAGUGUCAUGAAGCAGGUGGCGGUAACACGUUCAUUGUUCUCCGAGCGCCAACCAAAACCAAGACGAAGAAGAAGUAAAGGACUGUUGGCAAGGUUAGCUUGUUGUAUGAGGUGAAUGUUGAGUCUCUGGGUUAAACCAUCGACAUAUAUACGGCUUAAACAUGUAUUCAGGAGAGUCUCUGAUGGAGUUUGUCAACAAGCAAGUAGCUACUGCUAGAAAACUCAUCACGAAGGUUGAAGAAGCCUUGGCCCAGUUCGAGGAAGGGCUCGGUAGUCAGCGUAGACUGUCGGAUAUGAGCUGGGAACCACAGAGCACACACAGAGCAGGUAAGAAACACCAGCGGGACUCGUGCAGAGACGGACUGGGACAAUAAUUUAGCCUGGGGCCCUGUCCUGUUAUUAUUUAAGGUGUGUAGAAAGCUGCUUUCUUGUGUAGAUCAUCUCCAGCAAGCGGACCUCCGUUUUCUGACUGCCUUCUAGCUAGCCGUCUUUCGAUUUUUACGGGCGCAACUACAAGAGAAUUUACGGUGUCCUCGUUAUAGAGUGUCUUUCAAAAUAAAAGCGCUCAAAACACAUUUCAAAGUUUGUGUAAAAUUGUGUCUACGAUAAAACUGCGUUUUAUGAUUUUAUCUAUUUAAAAAUACUUUUAAUUAAAAUAAUGAACACGAAAUAAACAUAUUUGUGUAAAAUUGUGUGCAAGAUAAAACUGUGUUUUUAUGAUUUUAUCUAUUUAAAAAUACUUUAAAUUAAAAGAAUAAACACAUUUGUCUACUUUGCAAUUCUUAUCCCGCCCCUCCCUUUCAUCCUGAUCUGAUGUGGCAUUUCAAAAGAAAGUGAAAAUAUUGACAAUUAUCACUAAAUUCAAUGGUUUCAUUCUCAAAACGGUCUAAAUGAAGUGCAAAUUUAACUAUAAAGACAAUUUUCACCAUAUUCAAUGGUUUCUUUCUCAAAAACUGUCUGAUUCCACAUCAGUCUUAAAGUACACACUGACUGCUAAAUCCUCCCCGACUUUCAUUAGGAUCUGAUGUGACAUUUCAAAAUAAAGUGCAAUAAAAUAUGACUUUAGAGACAAUUUUCACUAUAUUCAAUUUAAUAAUUUCUCAAAAGCUGUCUGAUUCCACAACAUCAUUCCACCUCAGUAUUAGAACACACAUCGAGGACUAGAUCAGAAAUUUUGUGAGGAUGUAGUCGUCUAUGUGUACUUUAAGGCAGAUGUGGAAUGAUGUUGCGGAAUCAAACUGUUUUUGAGAAAUCAGCCGUGGAAUAUAGUGAAAAUUGUCAUUACUGACUAGUUUCAUUGCACUUUAUUUUGAAAUGCCACAUCAGAUCUUCAUGAAAUUUGGGGAGGAUGUAGUGCUCGAUGUGUACUCUUAAGAUUGAAGUCGAUUGAUGUUGCGGAAUGAAACAGUUUUUGAGAAAUUACCAUGGAAUUAGUAAAAAUAGUCCUUAAUGACUUGAUUGCACUUUAUUUUGAAAUGCCACAUCAAUCAAUCAAAGCUUUAUUUAUAAAGCACCUGUCGGGAAGCCCAAGGCGUUGAACGUGGUACAUGAGAAAUGUGAAACAUGAUGAAUAAAUCAAAAAUAAAAGCAAUUCAAAUAGUGCAAAAAAGGUAAAACAUUAAAGUAGAAGACAAAUGGGUAAAACAAGGGAUAAAGAGACCAAUGAAAACAGGGAAAUAAAAUCAACAUAAAAGAGGGCCUAAUUCAAACACGUUCAGGGAAUGCCAAGCGGAGGAGGUGGGGUUUUAGGCGACUCUUAAAAGACUGGCAGAGAUGGGGACAGCCUAAUUGAGCGUGGCAACUGGUUCCAGAGUGACGGUGUUAGGACAGAGAAAGCCCGGUCCUCGCGAGUACAACACCUAGAACGAGGGACAGCGAGCAGGCCUUGGUCAGCGGAGCGCAGAGCGUGUGAUGGGGAAUGUCUGUUCAGGAGUGUGGCUAGAUAGGGGGGAGCACCACCCUGGAAGAAAUUGUAAACAAAGAGGAGGAGUUUAAAGUGUGAACAAUAACAGACUGGAAGCCAGUGCAGGGAGGCCAGAACCAGACUGAUGUGGUCCCGUUUCCUGGUCCCAGUCAGGAACCUGGCUGUGCUGUUCUGCACAACCUGUAGACGAUGCAGUGAUGACUGACACAACCCUGCAUAUAGAGAGUUGCAGUAAUCAAUCCUAGAAAUUACAAAAGCAUGGAGUCCGGCUCCAGGUGGGCUCUUGACAGCAUAGGCUUGAUUUUUUCAAGGCGUCUCAGAUGAAAGAAACUGGACCGGAUCACAGAGUUGAUGUGAGCAUCAAAUUUAAUAAGUCCAGCGUCAAUUUUCACCCCCAGACUGGUGACAACUGGUUUUGAGUAGGGAGAAAGAGGGCCAAGAUCAACAUAACGACCCACUGCCCUGCUAUUGGGGUGAAAAACAAUGAGCUGUGUCUUUCCCUCAUUCAGAUGCAGAUAGUUGGCCAUUAGUCAAGACUUUACCUCGUUAAGACACAACACAAAGGACUGGAUAGAGAGACCUUUCUCCUGACACAGUGGAGAGUAAAUCUGGCAAUCGUCAGCAUUGAGAUGGAAUGCUAGGCCAUGUUUACGAAAGAUUGACCCUAGAGAAAGCAGAUAAAUUGCAAACAAAAGAGGACCAAGGAUCAAUCCCAAAGGAAACCGCCAGCGGUGCCCCUCCCAAGAAGAAAAAACAUCACCCAGUUUAAAGGUUGGUUUAUGCUUGACGCGUCCGCGCGGCGAAAUUGCGUCAUUUUAACAACCACGCCCCUCCACAGCGCCUCCGCACGGCCCAAAAUUUCCGCAACGCGCACCUAGGAAAUUUUCUAACUGCACGGACGGUCGGACGCGGAAAAACAUGGCGGACCGGCAAGAACUAGUAUGGCAGAGGUUCGUAAAUACAGACAUUUGUAUGAUUCAGCUCUCAAAGAUCACCAUGAUCAACAUGUUGUUAAUAAUUCUUGGAGAGAAAUAGCUCGCACUGUCGGAAAAGACAAGGAUGCUGUUAAAAAUGCUGGAAUGCCAUGUUGUAAACAGUAAUUUCUACUUCUACUAUGGUGUAGUGUUGGAUGCAUGCCGUAGAGCUCCAUGCUGCCCCGUUCAGCAGAGGUGGAAAGUAAUGAAUUACAUUUACUCACGUUACUGUAAUGGAGUAGCUUUUUUGUAAAUUUAUACUUUUUAAGUCGUUUUUAAAAUCUGUACUUUUACUUUUACUUGAGUAAGUUUUUAAAAAAGAAUUGUAAUUCGCUACAUUUUAAAUCAUAUCCGUUACUGAGUAAAAAUAAAUUGUAGGCUUAAUAAAUUAAAAAUAUUACGUGUAGCAGCGUCGGAACAGAAAGAGACACCUGCAUGAGCGCCACGUCUAAACCGG